rnacentral:tRNA from 4 species
GCGGGUAUGGCGGAAUUGGCAGACGCGCCAGAUUUAGGUUCUGGUGUCCCAGACGUGCAGGUUCAAGUCCUGUUACCCGCACCA